rnacentral:rRNA from 1 species
GACGAACGCUGGCGGCGUGCUUAACACAUGCAAGUCGAACGGGGUCCAACCAGUGGCAACACUGGGGAAGGCCUAGUGGCGAACGGGUGAGUAACACGUGAGGAACCUGCCCCGGAGACCGGGAUAACCCUCCGAAAGGAGAGCUAAUACCGGAUGUCCUCGUCGAGCCGCAUGACACGACGAGGAAAUGGAUUCCGCUCCGGGAGGGCCUCGCGGCCUAUCAGCUUGUUGGCGGGGUAACGGCCCACCAAGGCGUCGACGGGUAGCUGGUCUGAGAGGACGAUCAGCCACACUGGGACUGAGACACGGCCCAGACUCCUACGGGAGGCAGCAGUGGGGAAUCUUGCGCAAUGGGCGAAAGCCUGACGCAGCAACGCCGCGUGCGGGAUGAAGGCCCUCGGGUCGUAAACCGCUUUCAGUAGGGACGAAACAAGACGGUACCUACAGAAGAAGCUCCGGCCAACUACGUGCCAGCAGCCGCGGUAACACGUAGGGAGCAAGCGUUGUCCGGAUUUAUUGGGCGUAAAGAGCUCGUAGGCGGCUCGGUAAGUCGGGUGUGAAACCUCUGGGCUCAACCCAGAGACGCCACUCGAUACUGCCAUGGCUAGAGUCCAGCAGGGGAGCGUGGAAUUCCCGGUGUAGCGGUGAAAUGCGCAGAUAUCGGGAGGAACACCAGCGGCGAAGGCGGCGCUCUGGGCUGGAACUGACGCUGAGGAGCGAAAGCGUGGGUAGCGAA